AAAAGAUUAUUAGAUCAGCUUGGCUUUUUUCAGGCAGUUUUGUACAUGUAAAUUUGAGUAUCCCUAAUUUGAAAAUCUGGUAUCUGAAAUGCUCCAAAAUCUGCAACUUUUUGAGCACCAACAUGAUGCUCAAAAGAGCAUUUCACAUUUCAGAUUAGGAAUACUCAACCAGUCAGUAUAAUGCAAAUAUUCUAAAAUCCUUUAAAAAACUGAAAUUGGAAACACUUCUGGUCCUAAGCAUUUUGGAUAAGGGAUACUCAACCUAUGUCUAAUAUCAGAGCUUGCGGGCAAGGAGUGGUAAUUAGAAUGAAAGGGGCAGGUAAAAAAAUGGAGGGAUUUUUCUGUUGUACAUAAAUAGGAAUUUAGACUUGAUGUGAUAGACAAGAGGCGGUGUUCUAGAUUCUUGAGUGGGAUGGUGCUACACAGGUGACAAACUCAUACCUCUGCCUUAAGGCAGGACUUCGUUUUAUUGUAUACUUAAAAGACCUUUAAGAAAAGCUCACGUUCUUCUUCCCGCACCCAGUGACUGAAGUCAUAAAUUUGAGAGUUACACUGUUUUCUUCCUUCUCUCCUGAUGCUAAUAAGUUACCAAGUCUUUCAGUUUUUGCUUUUAAAUAUUGGUUAAAACAGUUCCCCCUCUUUAUCCGUACCACUACACUCUAGUAAGUUCUCAUCAUCAUUUACCUGAAAAGUACAAUAGGCUUCUAAUUUAUUUCCCCGUCUCAUCUGCCUUCUAUAUUACUGUUAGAGUAAUUGUUCAAAAAACAAAUCUCUUGUACCAUAUUCCUUUACAGAAUCCUUCAGUGGUUUCCCAUUACUUAGGAUAAAGUCUGGACUCUUUAGCAUGUCAUUCACAGCAAUUUGCCACCUCAUUGCCAGCACUCAGGAAAUAUAUGUUAUAUAGCCUAUACCUUAGCCAUAAUGAAGAUAAUAUGUUCUUUCAUAACUUUGCAUAUGUUACUCUCUUUUAUGCUUAUAAUUCUUUUUUCAAAUUGAUCAGCCUUGCAAAUUCACAUGAAUCUUUUAAUACACAUCAAAUGUAACCUCUCUGUUUCCUGCCCAUUCCCUUUUCCCUCCUCCAGUUAGCAUUCCUUUUAUUACUUUUCUGGUAAUUGCCUGUAUACAAGUCUGCUCACCCCAUUAGACUGUGAGAUCACUGAGGACAAGUACUGUAUAUUCAUUCAUCCUUGUAUUUCCAGCAUCUAGUACAGUGUCUGGCAAAUUUACAUUCAGCAAAUUUUUAAAAAAACCGAUCUAAAUUAAUUCCUUGACAUAGUUAAAAAUUUGGCUUUGGUAGCUGAAAGAAUUGAUAGUAAUUCCUUUUUCACUUUUUAUGAAUAUUUGCCUCUUCAAAUUUUUUAUGAUUUUCAAAUUGCUUGGGAUUUUUAUAAAUGGUUAAACUGUUUUCUCUCAUACAGCACAAGGCCUUACUUGUAAUCAUGAGAAGUGGAAUAUUACUAUGAUUCAUGUCCUAGGCAUAGAGAGUUGUAAAUAAGAAGGUAGGAGGUGACAGGCUGUGUGUUCAGUGGAGCAGAUAUUUCUUUGCCUUCUGUUAUAUCAGAAUUUAACUGACUCUUGCAUGAAUUAGCUAUUAUGUUUUUCUUUAUAUUAAAUUCAUACUUAAAAUGAAAAAAAGAUGAUAGGUUCAAAUUAUGUUACAUUUUUUGUUAAUCUUUUUAUCGUACCUCGAGGUUCCUUAGAACAUGUUGUUCUAACACUAACAAGCAGUGUGGUUUUGGACAAAUUAUUCAAUUGCUGGGCUUCAGCUUCCUGAUCUGUAAAACAGAUGAUAAUGGUACUAACUCCAGGUUUGUUGUGAGAAUUAAAUGAGUUAAUACAUGUAAGGCACUUAGAAUAGUGCCUGGCAAGUAGUGAGUAUUCCUACAUGUAGCCUGUAGUGAUCUCAGCUCACAGCAACCUCUGCCUCCCAGGCUCAUACAAUCCUUCCACCUACACCUUUUAACUA